rnacentral:rRNA from 1 species
AUUGAACGCUGGCGGCAGGCCUAACACAUGCGAGUCGAACGGUAGCACAGAGAGCUUGCUCUCGGGUGACGAGUGGCGGACGGGUGAGUAAUGUCUGGGAAACUGCCCGAUGGAGGGGGAUAACUACUGGAAACGGUAGCUAAUACCGCAUAACGUCGCAAGACCAAAGUGGGGGACCUUCGGGCCUCACACCAUCGGAUGUGCCCAGAUGGGAUUAGCUAGUAGGUGGGGUAAUGGCUCACCUAGGCGACGAUCCCUAGCUAGUCUGAGAGGAUGACCAGCCACACUGGAACUGGGACACGGUCCAGACUCCUACGGGAGGCAGCAGUGGGGAAUAUCGCACAAUGGGCGCAAGCCUGAUGCAGCCAUGCCGCGUGUAUGAAGAAGGCCUUCGGGUUGUAAAGUACUUUCAGCGGGGAGGAAGGCGGUGAAGUUAAUAACUUCACCGAUUGACGUUACCCGCAGAAGAAGCACCGGCUAACUCCGUGCCAGCCGCCGCAGUAA